rnacentral:rRNA from 1 species
GGGUCAGUAGGUUGGUCGUGCCACCGGUACGUACUGGUCUCACUGACUCCUCCUUCCUGAAGAACCGUAAUGCCAUUAAUUUGGUGUUGCGGGGAAACAGGACUGUUACUUUGAAAAAAUUAGAGUGUUUAAAGCAAGCUAACGCUUGAAUACAUUAGCAUGGAAUAGUGAAAUAGGACGAUCGAUCCUAUUUUGUUGGUUUCUAGGAUUGACGUA